rnacentral:lncRNA from 1 species
ACCGCAGACAUCAUUUCUACUACAGUGGCGGAGCCGUACAGGACCUGUUUCACUGCAGGGGGAUCCAAAACAAGCCCCGUGGAGCAGCAGCCAGAGCUACAGCAGCCGCAAGACACUGUUUCUCUCCCUCUGCCCCCCCUUCCCCACGCAACCCCAGAUCCAUUUACACUUUACAGCCGAUCGUGCAGCAGAUCGCCAGGGUGUCCCAUUCAAGCUGCAGAUUUGUCUGUCAUCGUCGGACGGCGGCGGCGGCGGUGGCGGCAGCGGUGGCGGUCCCCUCUUCCUCGUCCGCGGCAGGGAAGUGUGUCUCACAUCAGGUGAGAGUUUUGCCUUGCUCUCUAGUUUCCAUCCGAGGAUAAAGCCUGACGUGGGAAGAUGUCCUACUGGCCACGUUUGCGCCCUUUGUAGCCGUGGAAGAUCUUUGCAGACCGUAUGUGUGGGAAUUGGAGACAUCGCCGAGGUUUUUUUCAAACUCGGAUUCGAAGGAUCUCUCUUUUUGACUUCUUUGGUUUAGGAAGUGGUCCACGUUUGACUUUGCAGUGGCUGAUUGUCGUGUGUUGGGCUGGAGCCCGGCCAUAUGCUGUGUCCCUUGUACCGAAAGCCGCAUUCUGGAGCACAAUGGAUGAGUUUAUUUUGAGGCUUCAAAAGUAGUGCUGCUACAGAUGAGGAGCAAGAGAGAAAGUGUGGACCUCAGCCUGCAGGAGCGGUCUUGAAAGUGAUCUUGGGUCUAGGCAUUUUACAUUGAGUUUCUCCACUGCCUCCCUUUCUGCUCAAGCAAAAUCUGUGCGAAAAAGAUCUGCUGGGAAGGAACCAACUGCUUGGGAUUCUCCAUUGUGAUGAAAGCACGUGGUGCAGUUUUCCAAAGAAAUUAGUCCGUUGUCUGGGUGAAGAGAAACCCAUCUGCUGUUUCCACAGGGUAUCACUCCCUUCUCUGUGAGAGGAAGAAAGAACAGGCCUGGGCCCAGGAGCGCUCCAGCUUUUUGUGGGACGUCUCCAUGGUGAAGGACAGGCUGGGGCUACCUGUGAACAGCGCACAGUGAAUGUUGUAAGUUAAUAAGAGUCACAUCCGUGGUGGCUUUGCCUUGCAGCGAUGUGUGAGUCACCAGGGGCACGGGCCAGGGUGCUGAAAGACUAUGAAGCUUUGGCACUAGGUGAUCCUCCAAUUAGUUUCUUUUUUUAGGGGAGAGGUUCUGUUUUCAUUUGCCGUGAACUUGCCUUUCUCUCAGCUUCUGCGGGGCACUGCUCAUUAGCUCCUUCUGGAAUAACAGCGUGGAAGACAGUGCUUCUUUCACUGUAGGAACACCUGUUCUCCUGGAGCAGUAUCCGAUUUCGAACAGGCUCUUUUAAACUGGGCUAUGGCCGUCCUUUUAGGUUGGUGGGUAAGGGAGGUUAAAAUCCUCCAGUCUCAGGAUUCCGGGCCAGGGUUUCCACCCAGUAGUUAUUUUAUUUACGUGCAGUUUUUGAUCAGAAGGAAAUGUUUUUCUGGCUUUCCAAGAUCUGAGGUAUGCAUGUACAGUCAGCUGUUGAGGGUGCUUCUCUUACUCAGAAUUGGCUGAUGUAUUGGUUUUUAUCAGACUCCCGGGUUGGGAUUUUGAGAUGCGUAGUUUUUGCAUGUCAUCUGCUGGUCACCUUUCUGGGGGGGAUUUUUAGGAUCCAGUCAUGGAAGAGCCAACACAUGAAGGGCUUUGCGGUAUGAUGGGUUUGCUCAGCAUUGCUGCUUUCCGGAGAUUUUAUUUCAUUGCUAGGCUGUGUCAUUAAAAAAAAAAAAAAAGUUUAGAAGAGUUUUGACCAGAAAAGAAUACAGCUACAGCAAACCCAGGAUGGCCAAUGAACAUAAUACCUUCAAAUUUUAGAAAAUGAAGAACCAAUUUCAACUAGGUUUUUUAUGUAUGUGCAUAAAUACAUAUUUAUAUACAGAUAUACUUAAUAUAGAUCAUAUAUUUGUGGGUGUAUGUAUUUUAUAUACAUAAAUACAGGUUUAGCUGUAUAUACACAUAUGUGUGUAUAUGCAUGUGUGUAUGUGUGUGCGUAUAUAUAUAAAGUUGUCAGCGUCUUAAAAGUCGGGAAACUUUUUCAGUCACUUAUUACCUGUUUUCUUCCCAGUUGCAGAAGUGAUUUUGAAAGAGCAAGGUUCAGUAAGACGAGGGCAUAUAUCUAAGAGAAAGAGCAUUUACUGUUUGAAAAGAAAAAUUUCCACCGAAUUUUUUCUUGAAAAAUUUUCCACCGAAUUUUUUCUUGAUUUUCUAAAAAUGGAUCCUAAAUAUGUAUAUUUAUUCAUAUUUCCUAAAGGUUAAGUAGUCCUAUUAAGAGCAGCUUCUUGAAUUCACAGUCUCUCAGAACCUCAGAGGAAAUGGGUGACGGGAGAUGUUGGUGUUUUCAUGGGCUUUCCUUUGUGCAUAUGAUCCCCUUGGUUCUGGUGGAAAGUACACAGCUCCUGGAAUUACUGACCUAAAUUCUUUUCCUGGUCCUGGGGUCAUGGUCAAGUAAGUUUGCAACCUUGAGCAAGCCGCUGAGCUCCACGAAGUGUUGGUUUCUAAGUUUGUAAGUUGCUCCAUGUUGCUUGUUUAUUGAUGAGUUGUCAUCUCGGUUUAGGGUCCCCAUAAGGAGUAUCUUGUGACACUCUUGAAUCUUACCCCCCUCAAAAAAAGUCUCUUAUUCUAAAGGUUUGUAUCACUAUUAAGGAAUAAUUAGUGGGCCCUGUUACAUCUGAGUGCUACAGUAGCAAUGAGUUUUUCCGGCAACUAUUUUCCUAACCAUGUAGCCAACAGAAUGCACAUCUGGUGAUUUUUUUUUUUUAAAAGCAUUGUUAUCCUGGGGCACAAAUGUCUUAUGGAAAAGGGCUUUAGGUUUCGGAUUACAUUGAAAAGAACAGUGUGUGGUUACUAUAAUCAAGAUAGCUUUUGUUUUGAAUCUGGUGGAAUGUGUGUGUGUAUGUUUAAUUAUUGCUUUGAACUGCUCAUGUGAUACCCUGCCUGACCUCAAACAUUGAGGUUUCCAAAGAAGUUCUGAAGGGUAAACUAAGAUGCCACAUGGCCAACUUAAAGUCAUUUUAAAAUCCUUCUGUAAAUGGAGUGGGUUGAGGGAGAGAGGAAGAAAAUGCUAAAUCCCUUUGAACUCCUAAGGACCUUUUCUUCCCAAUUGCAUUUGCUUGGGGAAGUGGAGGAGGUUCCAGUUUUCUUGGUAAAUUUUAACAUUUAUAACCGUUUGUAACCUUGGUGCAUUUGUACAAUAAUGAAUUCGUAUUUUCCCCUGACUUUGGUGUCCCGGGUGCCCCGUGGCUGUGCCAUGAUAAUAGGGAAGGCUGGAGGUUUUCAAAGGGCGUGUGCUUGCCCAUGAUGGGGUAUGAUGUUGGAAAUAGAAAGAUUUGACUGCUCAUCAGGGCAGCCAUUGGAAUCCGAAGCCCUUGCAGGCUGUGCCCAGACUCACCGCCUUUGUGGUUCUCCUUUGCUUGUCACCAUUAACCAGCUCUCAGACCUGCCACCAUCUUUCCAGCAGAUGGACUUGACUCUUGAAAGUGCCUCAAACUGGCUCCAAGAUGUGGUAUUUCAUACAGGAGAGGAGUGACAAUAAAACUGACCUAGAAGUCAGGAGACCGAGGUUUUACCCGUGAUGCUUCCGUUAACUAUAUACCCUUGGCCUCCCCAGAGCCCUGGGGACCCAUUUUCUGCUGAGUACGUGAGAAAGUUGAGUUAGAAGAAUCCCCAGCACUCAUUUCAGUGUCUAAGUAUCAGUCUUAGGUGACACCAAUUGGACCUUCGUUUUACCCUGAUUGGCAGCUGAAAGUCAGUGAUUUGGCACAACCUCAAUUAACGAAUGCUUUUUUUUUUUUCCUUUUCCAGGGCCGCAGGUAUGGCAUAUGGAAGUUCCCUGGCUAAGAGUCAAAUCAGAGCUGCAGCUGCUGGCCACAGCCACACCAGAUCUGAGCUGCAUCUGCGACCUACACGAUAGCUCAGAGCAGCGCUGGAUCCUUGACCCACUGAGUGAGGCCAGGGAUCAAACUGGCAACCUCAUGGAUAUGAGUCAGGGUCAUCUCCAUUGCGCCACAACGGGAACUCCUACAAAUGCUUUUGAAACAUUGAGCACAGUCUUGUGGUUAAAGAGAAAGAAAAAAAAAAGCAUUAUGUCAUCUGUCAGACCACCAGCUCCCCUUUUCCUCAGGACCCCCCUGCCCCCAGGCACCAUGUGAGAAAUUGCCAAGUGUUCAUUUUAAGUGCUUUCUAAGAAUAUCGUUUUAGUCAUUUCAAUUUAGGACCCAUACUAAUGGGUAUUUUUGAAGAUUAAAUAUGAGCCAUUCUUGAAACUUAACGUUUUAGAAACCAUCCACCUCCGUAUUCAGGUAUUACCUAGGACAUAAGCAAGGAGGCAGUGCUCUAGGUUGCUUUCCUGAGCUUCUCAGCUUCAUUAAGUAGGUGUUGUCCAGCCGUCUCUUCAAAGCAGCCUUCCCUGACCUACGAAAAAUAGCACCCAUCCCACCCUCUGAAUCCUCUGGCCUGUGUAAUUUUUUAAGUACCCACAUGUUAUAAGUGUAUUUGUAAUUGUCUCCUCAACUAGACUGUAAGUUCCACGCAAGCAGGAAUAUUAUUAUUAUUAUUAUUAUCAUUAUCAUUAUCAUGAUUGUUCCUGGUCAAUCCACAACACCUAAAAUGCUGCUUGGUCUGUCGUGGGGUGAUGGGCACACAGUUAGUAUCGGUUGCGUGACUCUUUUAAGGACAGAGUAAAUACACACCUGGGCUUCUCAUGGGUGGGCCCAAGGCAUUAGGAAAAGGAUUAUACACAUGCUUCUGAUGAGAAGUGCUUUAAUCCGAUAGUACUUUGGUCAGGUAGAGAGUGGCAUCUAGAGACUAGUUUAUUGCCUAGUCCUUGGAAAUAGAUGUUAAAUGCUGGCGAUGUAUAUAACUCAGUGUUGGAAAGGAACCAUUUGUUUAAAAAAAAAAAAAAAGCUUGCUUUAUAGAACUAUCAAUAGAAUUGGGGGAUUUUCUGAUACUUUCUGCACUGUUGUGUGUUUCUUCUCCUUUUCUGUUUGAGUGAUUUGCUUUAUGGGUGGUUUGUGAGCAGCCUGUCCUGGCAUUCUGUGAAAGAUGGGGUGGGGG